CGAGUUACCACUUUAUAACCCUUUGUGAACAUACCUACAUGUUGCUUCGGCGGUCGGCCCCCCCGGGCCCCCGGCCCCGCUCACGCGGGGCGUCCGCCGGAGGAUAACCAAACUCUGAUUUAACGACGUUUCUUCUGAGUGGCACAAGCAAAUAAUCA
rnacentral:misc_RNA from 1 species